AUGAAGAUCCAGUGCAACGCGUGCGGCGCCGCGGAGGCGCGGGUGCUCUGCUGCGCCGACGAGGCCGCGCUCUGCGCCGCCUGCGACGAGGAGGUGCACGCCGCCAACAGGCUCGCCGGCAAGCACCAGCGCGUGCCGCUCCUCCCCGACGCCGCCGCGCCGCCCAAGUGCGACAUCUGCCAGGAGGCUUCUGGAUACUUCUUCUGCCUGGAGGACCGUGCUCUACUUUGUAGAGAUUGUGAUGUUGCUAUACACACAGUGAAUUCCUUUGUUUCAGCACAUCAAAGGUUCCUGCUGACAGGAGUUCAAGUUGGCCUCGAUCCUGCCGAUCCUGUUCCACCUGUUGCUGACAAGCACGUUAACACUUCAGGUGGAUCAGUGGAUUCACUACCGAAACACUUGCCAAAGAAAAAUCCUACAGCCCUAUUUUCAGGUGAAAACAGUGCAUCUAUUCCCAGCCAAAAUGCAAUCAGUGGAGAUUAUUCAAGGCAGAUUUCUGCUCCAAAUACCAAGACAGGAAUGACCAAUUGGACUAUGGACAACAGUGCACUUAGAUUGGCAGAGCCUCCACCUAAGUACCUGUCAGAUGGAAAUUCAAAACUUCUGCUCUCUAAUCAGACCACCACAGCUUUAUCCAACCAAAUGAACAGAGAUAGUGGCCGGGCUUACAACUUACCAUUCUCAGGCGGCAAUGGGUCAGACAGUUUACCUGAUUGGCCUGUGGAUGAAUUCUUCAGUAACUUAGAAUAUGGCCCAAACUUUGGCUUCACUGAGCAUGGUUCUUCCAAGGGUGACAAUGCUAAGCUGGGGAGUGCUGGGGGAUCUCCACAGUGCCGUCUAGCUGAAGGCCUGUUUGCAGAAGACCUGCUAGGCCAGGUACCUGGAUUAGAUGCUGAGGAUCCAUGGGUGGUGCCCGAGGUUCCCUCCCCACCAACAGCCUCGGGUCUAUGCUGGCAAGGGAACUUGCAUUACCCUGUGUAUGACGGCGCCAUGUUCGUCCCUGAAGCACCCUCCCUGCAGAGCUCCCAGGACCACUUCACUGCAUCUGCUGGUUUCAAGCGUCGAAGGAGAGAGUUUUGA
rnacentral:rRNA from 1 species